AUUUUUGCCAACUUUAUACUU
ensembl:piRNA 21ur-15655 ncRNA